CAGUGGCGACCUGCCAGCAACAAAUUUUAUUAGGAUCAAACUUUUAAAAUGUGCUAACGCAGGAAAACCUGAGGCUUUUAUUUCAAAGCUGCACUUUAAUGAGGACUAAAGUCAAACUGUAGCCUGGUGAUUCCAAAAAAAAAAAGAAAAGAAAAAAAAAAUUCACCUCUUUGAUCAAAAACUGGCUUUUCUUCAAGAGAUCAUCAAGAAACAGAGGGGAAUGCAGCCGAGGACACUCCAGGAUAAUCCGGGCUGCACCCAGUAUACCUCGCAUUCUCACAGCCCUUCCAAUCACCUAAGGAUCACAGAUUGUCAGAGCCGAUCCCAGCAGCAUCAGUGCCAGACGGGAACUCACUGCGGGCAGGGUGCCAGUCCACGGCACACCCACCAUUUGGGCACAUUUUCACUUUAUUCCUUUGCAGCUGCAGCAGACCAAACCUGCCUGAGACACCAUCCUGCUGCAUUCUCAUACUGCAGUGGCUGUGCCCUGCCAUCAAGGGUUGGGUCCUGCCACCGCUUAAGAGAAUGAACUGCUUUAUGAAUGCCACAGGUCGGAGAAGGCAUAAACAAAAUGGCAAAUGAAAAGUCAGCCUUUUCUGGAAGCCAUUCCCAUACUGAGGAGUCCCAAGCACCGAGGGUGAGCACCACGUUCUUAGCUCAGCUCGAUGACUUCACCUGUUGGACUUGUGACACGAUGGAUGAAUACUUGUGAUGUUUUAAAAAGGAGCAAGUGUGGCACAGUUAGGUGCUGAAAGGCAAACAUAAGGCUUCCUGUUGAAGCCCCACGGUGGACCCCCUGAAUGAGCGAGCGCAGAUGUGACCACCUAUGUCGUAAGUCUAAUGAAGAUGCCCACUGAAGGAAACUGACUGCGUCUGGGGCUCAUAAGACCUGCGGGCACUGGAGCGAGAGGCAGUUAAUGAGCAGCCUGACCUGCAGGACGAAUCCCUGUGCCGUCACAGACCUCACGAAACGUUUAAGUCAAGAAGGACUAGUCGUUCAGACUGACCUUUAGCUGAAUUGUCCCCAAGCGAUGCUGGGCCUGUUUUAGCUCUGCGUGAGAAGAAGCAGACCUGACUGUGUAUUCCAGUGACCGGUGGACAACUUAACCGUGUUCUCUUGGAUAUUACAAACCUCUUUACUCACAGACUCAAGUGUCGUCAUUCUUCAAAAUAUCAAUAUAAAAUGAACUUUAAAAGAACACAAAUAGCUUCUUGUUAUAGAAAUUCUCAGGUGGCCACAAUGGCUAAAGUCAUUUACAGUGGGACGUUGGUGUCAAUGGCCUUUUGUGACUGUCACAUCAUCCACACCGUGUAAUAGAUACCAAAAGGUCAAGGGGCUGCUCGAGGGAAAUGUGGACAGUGAAGUGUCACCCCAAGUGAUCCCUUAGUUUGUCUAAAUGUGUCCCAGUAGGAGCUUUCAAACCUGACUUCUGUUGGAGGACCCAUUAGGUGCUUCGGUGUAUUCAGCAGUCAGCCAAGGCAGGAGGCACAAGAGAUGAAGCAGCUAAAGACUGGCAGUAAGCAGAUGAUCAUCUGGUUCUAAGUGGCACACCAACCAAAGCCACGUCACAGAUGACAGCACACACUCUGCAAAAUGCUGAUUUAGAAAGCGUUAUGUGGUCACAUCACGACAGCAGUGCACAUAGGAUGGCAUCACUUGACAAGAACACCGAGGCAGAUGGUGUGUUGGGAUGCACAACAUAGAAGUAAUUGAUUUUUUGGAAAUGUUGAAGCCGUUUAUCAAUGCGCUGUAAAGAGCCAUUUUAGGAUGACUUUUUUGGGAAACCAAGCUAAAUAAGGACAAACAGAAACAGUCCAGAGAAAGAAGAACCAAAAACAGCACAACCAGCAGCCAUACCACCUGCACCUCAGACAUGGCCACUCACCUGUAGCGUGUUCAGGCCCAGCCAGUACUUGGAUGGGAGACCAUCUGGGAAAAACCUUGGGUUGCUGCUGGAAGAGGUGUUGGUGAGGCUUACCCUGUGGUCUGAAUGUGGAUCCCAAUGCAGUGAUGGGGACACACGUCCUUCAGAUGAAACGUAGGGCCCAGGUCCUGACUCUCUGUGUCAUAAAAGAUCCCUGGGAAUUCU